CUACGGGUGGCUGCAGUGGGGAAUAUUGCACAAUGGGCGCAAGCCUGAUGCAGCCAUGCCGCGUGUAUGAAGAAGGCCUUCGGGUUGUAAAGUACUUUCAGCGGGGAGGAAGGGAGUAAAGUUAAUACCUUUGCUCAUUGACGUGACCCGCAGAAGAAGCACCGGCUAACUCCGUGCCAGCAGCCGCGGUAAUACGGAGGGUGCAAGCGUUAAUCGGAAUUACUGGGCGUAAAGCGCACGCAGGCGGUUUGUUAAGUCAGAUGUGAAAUCCCCGGGCUCAACCUGGGAACUGCAUCUGAUACUGGCAAGCUUGAGUUGCGGAGAGGGGGGUAGAAUUCCAGGUGUAGCGGUGAAAUGCGUAGAGAUCUGGAGGAAUACCGGUGGCGAAGGCGGCCCCCUGGACGAAGACUGACGCUCAGGUGCGAAAGCGUGGGGAGCAAACAGGAUUAGAUACCCGCGUAGUC
rnacentral:rRNA from 1 species